rnacentral:rRNA from 1 species
AGAGUUUGAUCAUGGCUCAGGAUGAACGCUAGCGGCAGGCCUAAUACAUGCAAGUCGAACGGUGUCUUCGGACAUAGUGGCGCACGGGUGCGUAACACGUAUGCAACCUACCUUACAUUGGGGGAUAGCCUUUCGAAAGGGAGAUUAAUACCGCAUAAGACAGUAGCUGGGCAUCCAGCAGCUGUUAAAGAUUUAUCGAUGUAAGCUGGGCAUGCGUCCAAUUAGCUAGUUGGUGAGGUAACGGCUCACCAAGGCAAUGAUUGGUAGGGGAACUGAGAGGUCAAUCCCCCACACUGGCACUGAGAUACGGGCCAGACUCCUACGGGAGGCAGCAGUAGGGAAUAUUGGGCAAUGGACGCAAGUCUGACCCAGCCAUGCCGCGUGCAGGAUGAAGGCGUUAUGCGUUGUAAACUGCUUUUAUACAGGAAGAAACGACUCUUGCGAGAGGCAUUGACGGUACUGUAUGAAUAAGCACCGGCUAACUCCGUGCCAGCAGCCGCGGUAAU